rnacentral:pre_miRNA from 1 species
GUUCAUGGUUGAACGGUGGGGAGUUGGACUGCCUGGCUCCCUGUAUGCCACCUGCGGGGCUUGUCAAAAUGAUUGCCAGGCUGCAUAGCUGGCAUCCAGGGAGCCAGACAGACCUUUCUCUUGCCUCAUCCGGGUCCC